rnacentral:rRNA from 1 species
UACGUAGGCAGCGAGCGUUGUUCGGAAUUACUGGGCGUAAAGAGUGUGUAGGCGGUGCUCUAAGUUCGGGGUGAAAUCUCCUGGCUCAACUGGGAGGGUGCGCCGGAAACUGGAGUGCUUGAGCGUGGGAGAGGAAAGCGGAAUUCCUGGUGUAGCGGUGAAAUGCGUAGAUAUCAGGAGGAACACCUGUGGUGUAGACGGCUUUCUGGACCGUAACUGACGCUGAAACACGAAAGCGUGGGUAGCAAACAGG